rnacentral:rRNA from 1 species
GACGAACGCUGGCGGCGUGCCUAAUACAUGCAAGUCGAACGAGUGGCGGACGGGUGAGUAACACGUGGGAACCUACCCAUCAGAGGGGGAUACCAAUUGGAAACAGGUGCUAAUACCGCAUACUGAUGGAUGGACCCGCGGUGCAUUAGCUAGUAGGUGGGGUAAAGGCUCACCUAGGCGAAGAUCUCUAGCUGGGCUGAGAGGAUGAACAGCCACACUGGGACGUAGACACGGCCCAGACUCCUACGGGAGGCAGCAGUGGGGAAUAUUGCACAAUGGGCGCAAGCCUGAUGAAGCCAUGCCGAGUGUAUGAAUAAGGCCUUAGGGUUGUAAAGGACUUUCAGCGGGGAGGCGUUACCCGCAGAAGAAGCACCGGCUAACUCCGUGCCAGCAGCCGCGGUAAUUC